GGUUAAGCGACUAAGCGUACACGGUGGAUGCCCUGGCAGUCAGAGGCGAUGAAGGACGUGCUAAUCUGCGAUAAGCGUCGGUAAGGUGAUAUGAACCGUUAUAACCGGCGAUUUCCGAAUGGGGAAACCCAGUGUGAUUCGUCACACUAUCAUUAACUGAAUCCAUAGGUUAAUGAGGCGAACCGGGGGAACUGAAACAUCUAAGUACCCCGAGGAAAAGAAAUCAACCGAGAUUCCCCCAGUAGCGGCGAGCGAACGGGGAGCAGCCCAGAGCCUGAAUCAGUGUGUGUGUUAGUGGAAGCGUCUGGAAAGGCGCGCGAUACAGGGUGACAGCCCCGUACACAAAAAUGCACAUGCUGUGAGCUCGAUGAGUAGGGCGGGACACGUGGUAUCCUGUCUGAAUAUGGGGGGACCAUCCUCCAAGGCUAAAUACUCCUGACUGACCGAUAGUGAACCAGUACCGUGAGGGAAAGGCGAAAAGAACCCCGGCGAGGGGAGUGAAAAAGAACCUGAAACCGUGUACGUACAAGCAGUGGGAGCACGCUUAGGCGUGUGACUGCGUACCUUUUGUAUAAUGGGUCAGCGACUUAUAUUCUGUAGCAAGGUUAACCGAAUAGGGGAGCCGAAGGGAAACCGAGUCUUAACUGGGCGUUAAGUUGCAGGGUAUAGACCCGAAACCCGGUGAUCUAGCCAUGGGCAGGUUGAAGGUUGGGUAACACUAACUGGAGGACCGAACCGACUAAUGUUGAAAAAUUAGCGGAUGACUUGUGGCUGGGGGUGAAAGGCCAAUCAAACCGGGAGAUAGCUGGUUCUCCCCGAAAGCUAUUUAGGUAGCGCCUCGUGAAUUCAUCUCCGGGGGUAGAGCACUGUUUCGGCAAGGGGGUCAUCCCGACUUACCAACCCGAUGCAAACUGCGAAUACCGGAGAAUGUUAUCACGGGAGACACACGGCGGGUGCUAACGUCCGUCGUGAAGAGGGAAACAACCCAGACCGCCAGCUAAGGUCCCAAAGUCAUGGUUAAGUGGGAAACGAUGUGGGAAGGCCCAGACAGCCAGGAUGUUGGCUUAGAAGCAGCCAUCAUUUAAAGAAAGCGUAAUAGCUCACUGGUCGAGUCGGCCUGCGCGGAAGAUGUAACGGGGCUAAACCAUGCACCGAAGCUGCGGCAGCGACACUGUGUGUUGUUGGGUAGGGGAGCGUUCUGUAAGCCUGCGAAGGUGUGCUGUGAGGCAUGCUGGAGGUAUCAGAAGUGCGAAUGCUGACAUAAGUAACGAUAAAGCGGGUGAAAAGCCCGCUCGCCGGAAGACCAAGGGUUCCUGUCCAACGUUAAUCGGGGCAGGGUGAGUCGACCCCUAAGGCGAGGCCGAAAGGCGUAGUCGAUGGGAAACAGGUUAAUAUUCCUGUACUUGGUGUUACUGCGAAGGGGGGACGGAGAAGGCUAUGUUGGCCGGGCGACGGUUGUCCCGGUUUAAGCGUGUAGGCUGGUUUUCCAGGCAAAUCCGGAAAACUAAGGCUGAGGCGUGAUGACGAGGCACUACGGUGCUGAAGCAACAAAUGCCCUGCUUCCAGGAAAAGCCUCUAAGCAUCAGGUAACAUCAAAUCGUACCCCAAACCGACACAGGUGGUCAGGUAGAGAAUACCAAGGCGCUUGAGAGAACUCGGGUGAAGGAACUAGGCAAAAUGGUGCCGUAAC
rnacentral:rRNA from 1 species